UAUUCUGCCCCAUGGGGAAGGGUAAGAACCUUCGACUAAGGUUCGACUCGAGCGAAGCGAGAGAACGUUGCCGCAGGCAACGGCCCGAAGGGCGAGGAGAGAUAGCGACGAGUUAUCCUUUCCCCACCACCA
rnacentral:sRNA from 1 species